rnacentral:rRNA from 11 species
AGAAUAACGUCUAGUCAUUAUGCUCUUUUGUUCGGAGAUAUUCAUGUGUUACAAAGAGAGCUACAGCCCAUCUCACCAAUGAGACAUCAAAAUAUUAUCAUCCUAAUUGAAAAUUGAAAUGUUUUUAUGAAGGAGGAAUUAUUAGGAAUCUUUGGUUAGUUACUUAAAGGUGGACAGGAGAUAAAUUUUGCACAUACCGCCCGUCAAGCAAAAAGCAGAGAUGUGCAUUCAAACAGUUCCACAAUUAAAUUGUGAGAUGAGAUAGCUAAUUUGUGUUAAGUCGAAACAUGGUUGCUCAUCAGGAA